AGCUGUGGGCUCAGAAGCAGAGUUCUGGGGUGUCUCCACCAUGGCCUGGACCCCUCUCUGGCUCACUCUCCUCACUCUUUGCAUAGGUGC
rnacentral:pre_miRNA from 2 species